rnacentral:rRNA from 1 species
UACGUAGGGGGGCUAGCGUUGUCCGGAAUCAUUGGGCGUAAAGAGCGUGUAGGCGGUCCGGUAAGUCCGCUGUGAAAGUCGGGGGGCUCAACCCUGGAAUGCCGGUGGAAACUGUCGGGCUGGAGUCCGGAAGAGGCGAGUGGAAUUCCUGGUGUAGCGGUGAAAUGCGCAGAUAUCAGGAGGAACACCAAUGGCGAAGGCAGCUCGCUGGGACGGUACUGACGCUGAGACGCGAAAGCGUGGGGAGCAAACAGG